rnacentral:rRNA from 1 species
GAUGAACGCUGGCGGCGUGCCUAAUACAUGCAAGUAGAACGCUGAAGGAGGAGCUUGCUCUUUCCGGAUGAGUUGCGAACGGGUGAGUAACGCGUAGGUAACCUGCCUGGUAGCGGGGGAUAACUAUUGGAAACGAUAGCUAAUACCGCAUAACAGUAGAUAUUGCAUGAUAUUUGCUUGAAAGGGGCAAUUGCUCCACUACCAGAUGGACCUGCGUUGUAUUAGCUAGUUGGUGAGGUAACGGCUCACCAAGGCGACGAUACAUAGCCGACCUGAGAGGGUGAGCGGCCACACUGGGACUGAGACACGGCCCAGACUCCUACGGGAGGCAGCAGUAGGGAAUCUUCGGCAAUGGACGGAAGUCUGACCGAGCAACGCCGCGUGAGUGAAGAAGGUUUUCGGAUCGUAAAGCUCUGUUGUAAGAGAAGAACGAGUGUGAGAGUGGAAAGUUCACACUGUGACGGUAUCUUACCAGAAAGGGACGGCUAACUACGUG